rnacentral:rRNA from 1 species
CCUACGGGAGGCAGCAGUGGGGGAUAUUGCACAAUGGGGGAAACCCUGAUGCAGCGACGCCGCGUGGGUGAAGAAGCGCCUCGGCGCGUAAAGCCCUGUCAGCCGGGAAGAAAAUGACGGUCCCUGAAGAAGAAGCCACGGCUAACUACGUGCCCGCAGCCGCGGUAAUACGUAGGGGGCAAGCGUUAGCCGGAUUUACUGGGUGGAAAGGGGGCGGAGACGGGGAUGCAAGCCAGGAGUGAAAGCCCGGGGCCAAACGCCGGGACUGCUCUUGGAACUGCGUGGCUAGAGUGCAGGAGGGGCAGGCGGAAUGCGUGGUGUAGCGGUGAAAUGCGUAGAUAUCAGGAGGAACACCGGUGGCGAAGGCGGCCUGCUGGACUGCAACUGACGUUGAGGCCCGAAAGCGUGGGGAGCAAACAGGAUUAGAUACCCUAGUAGUC